rnacentral:rRNA from 1 species
UACGGAAGGCAGCAGUGGGGAAUAUUGCACAAUGGGCGAAAGCCUGAUGCAGCUAUGCCGCGUGUAUGAAGAAGGCCUUAGGGUUGUAAAGUACUUUCAUCGGGGAGGAAAAACAAAACUAAUAAUUUUAUUUCUUGACGUUACCCGAAAAAGAAGCACCGGCUAACUCCGUGCCAGCAGCCGCGGUAAUACGGAGGGUGCUAGCGUUAAUCAGAAUUACUGGGCGUAAAGAGCACGUAGGUGGUUUUUUUAAGUCAGAUGUGAAUCCCUGGGCUUAACCUAGGAACUGCAUUUUGAAACUGAAAUACUAGAGUAUCGUAGAGGGAGGUAGAAUUCUAGGUGUAGCGGUGAAAUGCGUAGAUAUCUGGAGGAAUACCUGUGGCGAAAGCGGCCUCCUAAACGAAUACUGACACUGAGGUGCGAAAGCGUGGGGAGCAAACAGGGAUUAGAUACC